rnacentral:rRNA from 1 species
AGAGAGAGACAUGCGCGCAUAUCAAUAAGCGGAGGAAAAGAAACUAACUAGGAUUCCCUCAGUAACGGCGAGUGAAGCGGGAAGAGCUCAAAUUUGAAAUCUUCAAGGUUCUACCUUGACGAAUUGUAGUUUAAAGAAGUGUUUUCUGUUGGAGUUUUGGUAAAAGUUCUUUGGAAUAGGACAUCAUAGAGGGUGAGAAUCCCGUAUUUGACCAUUAUUUCCAGCUUUGUGAUACACUUUCAAAGAGUCGGAUUGUUUGGGAAUGCAGUCCAAAAUGGGUGGUAAAUUUCAUCUAAAGCUAAAUACUGGCGAGAGACCGAUAGCGAACAAGUACCGUGAGGGAAAGAUGAAAAGAACUUUGAAAAGAGAGUUAAACAGUACGUGAAAUUGUCAAAAGGGAAGCGUUUGACACCAGUGUUGUUUUCUCGAAAAUCAAUUAAAAAUGGCAGGAUUUUGUGUUGUAUUGACUUUAUCAGCUUUCUGCACUUUUUUCUUGUCUUUUUUAAUGCACUUUUCGUUUAACAAGUCAACAUCAAUUUCUUUUGUUGUAAAAGGGUCAUUGGAAGGUGGCUUUCUUUUCGGAGAAAGUGUUUAUAGCCUUUGACCUCUGCAAUCGGAGAGACUGAGGUCUGCAGCGUAGAUCCUUCGGGGUUAGAUACACUUGUGCUAAGUUAUAGCCUUUUCAUAGACAACUUGUUGACUAUGACUAGUCAUGUAGCUUACUCGCUUAUGUCAUUUUACCUACGCUUAGGAUGUUGACAGCAGUAUAGACUGU